rnacentral:rRNA from 1 species
ACGGUCAAAUCACGCUGAAAACACCGGUUCUCGUUCGAUCACCGAAGUUAAGCAUCGUAGAGCCAGGUCAGUACUUAGAUGGGGGACCGCUUGGGAACACCUGGUACUGUAAG